ensembl:lncRNA
AAAUCGUCUAUUGUCCCAUCCCAAUUGCCGUCGCAACAAGGUUUGCUGUGUCUCUCAGUACAGUCUCAAGAGCAUGGAGUAGAUAGCAGGAGAAGGGCUGUUACAGGAGGAGAGCUUAACAGGGCCAUGCAAGGACAUCAACCCAGCAGCAGGACCGGUAUCUGCUCCUUUGUGAGGAGGAACAGGAGGAGCACUGCCAGAGCCCUACAAAAUGACCUCCAGCAGGCUACUGAUGCACUUUUGAAAUACUUGAAUUCCAUCCCUGCACAUCCUGGUCCACCUGCACCUUCUCUACCUCAGCUAAGCCCAGUGAUGCAGCAUCAGGCAUCUACAAAAAGGCUGCACCAAUAGACCCUACUGACUGGCCAUCUAUUUUAAAUGAUAAGGUAAGAACAGAGUUUGUACUCAGAGGACUAAUAAAAUAAAAAAAGUUUAAUGUCCCUGAAACAGAAAGACAGGAGAAGUUGACUAUUUCAAUAGUCUUAGUCUAUGGAGAAAAAAUAUAAAGCUGCAAGACAAGGUGAGUAAGGCUGUAGAACAAUGUUACAUUAUGCAUAUUGCACUAAGGUUUCUGUAAUACUGUUUUUUGUUCAAUAUAAAUACAAUACUUACAUUGUUUUGUCAUUGGUUUUUUAUUUCUAUUAGAUUUUUCUAAAACAAAGAAAAUCUCUAAGACAAAGCUAUGCAGUUUCUGCACAAGUGUAUGAUUGGUGGCAAUGGACACCAGCUAAAAUCUUGCCUGGGGCAUCAAAAUGAUCAGAGACGGCCCUGAGUCAAUGGCAUCAAUGCCUUCAUCAUCCAGGAACUGCCUACACACUCUGGCCACAUGAAGCUGGGCAUUGUCCAACACCAGGAAGAACCCAGGUCCCACUGCACCAGCUUAAGUGGGUCUGAGGAUUUUAUCCCAGUACCUAACAGCAGUCAGGGUACCGUUGGAAAGCACAUGGAGGUCUCUGCAAACCUCCAAGGAUGACUCCCCAGAUCAUCACCGACCCACUGCUAAACCAGUCAUGCUGGAUGAUGUUGCAGGCAGCAUAGCGUUCACCACUGUGUCUUCAGACUCCUUCACGUCUGUCACAUGUGCUCAGUAUGAACCUGCUCUCAUCUGUGAAGAGCAGGACAAUGACAUCAAUUAUUACUGCCAUAACUAAAAAUAUGUUUUUCACAACCGAAAAGUGGGGAGUUCUUGACUUGCCAAGUCAUUUACCCAAUCUGAAUUCAACUGAGAAUGCCUUUCACAUGCAAGACUGAAGUUUUGUGGAGCUCCUGCACCUAAACUAGCAUAUAUAACAUAAUUGGCAUCCAAAAUGAGUACUGGCUUUAAAUCCAGUUGGAAGAGAGUCCUUACAUAUAUAAUACAUGCAAAUGUUAGAGUAAUUAAAACCAUUUUAAUUAAAUUGGCAUGUUUAUACCAAUCAUAACACAAAUGCAGCUACAAAAAAAAAAAGAGAAAUACUGUACAUUGAUACAUAAUUCCUUAUCUUACUGCUGGUAUGUUCACUUAACAGUUGUAAUGUUUAUCAGUAUCCUUAAAAGGACAAGCUACAACAACUAUGUUUAACACAUGUAAAGCAUGUCAUGUUAUAUUAGCUUGUCUAAAAACACAUGAUCCAUCCUCUCAAUGUACCAUUACAUACUGGAAUAUAUUAUGUAUACAAAUUAUGAAGGAAAAAAAUAAGAGUUCUACAGCAGCUAUACAAAUGAUUGCAAUACCAGUACCGAACAGAAACAAAAACCAUUUCAAAUACCGAACAGGCCUGACAAAAUCCUGUACCUGUAGUUAGGGAGGAUGAAACAAUGUGAAUAAAAACUACUAUGAUAGAGUACAGCUUAAACAGUCAACCCCUUCUUCCCGUUAUAAACAAGAAUAAAACAGUAUUGUUGUAUAUAAAACCCCAAACCAUUCUCCAUACAAAACAAGAUAAAUACACUGUCCAUCAUACAGCCUAUUUGAUGUUAGUCUUAGACAGGCUCUCCCAUUUUAAUAAUAAAUUCCUGAUAUUGGUAUGUUAUUGCUGCAAAUGUGCUCGCUCCCUCUUGGACAAAAGAACCAUAUCACAAAUGUAAAGGUAAGUUUUGCCACACAAUGAUCAUAACUUUUCUUCCAGAGUUGUGUAAAAAAGGGUUUUCUAGAAUCUUGCCAUUACAAAACCUCUCUCUUAAGAAAAUAGUUGAUAAAAAUAUUUCUCUGCAUUUUACAAGAAAGUACAACAAAAGGUGGCAAAGGGUUGUUAUUCUGCCUUCCCUUUCUCUGGCACGUCUGCCUCAGACUCCUCUUGCUUAGCAUUUGUGUCUUCCGCUGCCUCCUGCAGGUCC